rnacentral:misc_RNA from 1 species
UAUCAGAUUUGCUUUAGGAUUGAAGGGGAAACUAGGAUUUGUCAAUGGAAAUCUUAGUUCCUGAUAGAUAUUCUACUUUGAGAAAUGGCAAAAGGUAGAUUUUUUUGGUGACAUCUUGCUCUUGGAAACUUAAUUCAUUCUUGAAAGAACUGGUUGAUUCUUCGUAACUACUGCUACGGAAUUGUAGAAAGAAGUAGAAGAAGGAUUUGGUGAGGGUAAUG